UACAGAGGGUGCGAGCGUUAAUCGGAAUUACUGGGCGUAAAGCGUGCGUAGACGGUUAUUUAAGUCGGGUGUGAAAGCCCCGGGCUCAACCUGGGAAUUGCAUUCGAGACUGAAUAGCUAGGGUACGGUAGAGGGAAGCGGAAUUUCCGGUGUAGCGGUGAAAUGCGUAGAUAUCGGAAGGAACAUCAGUGGCGAAAGCGGCUUCCUGGACCAGUACCGACGUUCAGGCACGAAAGCGUGGGGAGCAAACAGG
rnacentral:rRNA from 4 species